ensembl:lncRNA
AGCCAGAGAGCAGUGAUUGGUCAGACUGACUGCGAGUCAGAGAGCAGCGAUUGGUCAGACCAUAGAUAAUAUAGGAGACAGCACGCUAGCGUAUCUAGUCUAUGUAUAUCUGUGGUCGGCACGUCUGGUAGCAUCUCUGGCUGCUGUUGACCUUGUUUUUGGAGUAAAACACGGUGGAAGCUGAAUUAGUGAGGAUGACUCCUGCUCCUGUCAUCUCUAAGCUCCUCACACAUCUUUACCUGCACAUGAGGAAAAUCACUCCUGUAGAAUGCAGUGGUUCAUCAGAACCUCUGGGGAUGUCCUGUGGAUUCUGUGGAUCCUGUGGGUUGCAGGGUGGGUCCUACCUAGACCAGGCUGAUCCUGGACCAUCCCACAGAUGCUCAAUCAGAUCUGGAUGUGGGGAGUGUGGAACCCAGAUGUUCAGAGGGAGAUGAUGCCACAUCUGGUCCAGCUGAUGGAAGGUCUUGAAGUUCUCUGACUGGCCUCGACUGAAGAUGGUCGUCUCACUGGAUUUAAGGUUCAGAUGCUCAGUAACAAACUCCACCAAUGUGCCAACAAGGAAGCUUUAGGUUUAUUAAAUGUUGCUAUGAAGGUUUCGCUGUUUUUCUUUGUGAAUGCAAUGUGCUCCAACUGAAACUUGAAUUAGAACUUAGAAAUAAAUCCUUCCAUCUGAAAGGAUUUAGUUGCAUUAAUAACCUCAUAACAUUCUAAUUUUUAUUCCAGUCUUGGUUGAAAAUAGAAUCUCUGUAUUGAUUCAGGUAAAAACUGAACUUCACAGUAUGUUGGAGCAAAACAACCAGAUGAAAACUGUGAUGGUGUUGGAUUGUCAGACCGUAAUGUUGCAGCUCAAAGCAGCUUUUCUAGCUCAGUUCAUUCUGACAUUCAGCUAUGAAUCAACACAGCAGAUGGUGAUCCAUGCUGUGGAAGUCUCACAUCUCCUGAUUUAAUGGAGCUGCUUUGCACUUUUUACACUGUUUAUUCACCAACACUUUAUUUAAUAAAAGUCCCAUCUAGUUUUUAUGAGGAAUGUGAUGUUUUAAUUUCUCUGUGAAUAACUGCAGUCUAAUGCAACAGCUGGAGUUGUAACAUCUGUCCUGAUAUUGAUCAUGAAGUAUUGAUCAGAAUACUUAUGGUUAGCAGUCAUUUUACAUUAAAAUCUUUACUUGUGUUGUGAACUUUGGUAAGAAGCAGAAACGUUAGCGUUGCCAUGGAUAUAAGAGUGUUAAAUUCUGUCCAUGUUUCCAUUUUGGGAAAUGCAGUCCAGUUCCAGAAUGUGGAGGAAUUUAGUCUCACAAUCACAGACAACAAAUAUUAUCUGAAAGUCGGGUUAUUGUUGUUUAUCAGCACAAUACAAAAAGGUUAAUGUUAGAAAUAUUCCAGUUAAGACUCUAGAAUAUCAUGAUUUAUGUAAAUUUACCUCAAUAAUAUGAAUGUUCAGGUUAAGAUUGUACAGUGAUAUUAUGUAAGUUUAGCUAAUUAAUGUUUAUAACUCUGCACUGAAAUAUUAUUUAAAUUGACAUCAUUAUUAUAAUAUUUAGGGUCAGACCCUACAGUAUUGAGAUUAAGAAAUCAAAUAUUCUAUAAAAUGUAAAUACACUGAACUCAUUUGGAUAUAUUUAAGUGAGACUACAAUAUUAUUUGACACAAAUCUAUCUAAAUCAAAAUUCUAAUAAUUUUCACGCCAAACAUUUACUGGACUGAUUUAAACAUUAAAAUCACUCCUUUCUAAUCCUCUGCUGUACGUUCAAACCUGAGGCCUUAAAUAGAAACACACAAGUAUCUGAUUGAAGGAACUUCUGCAGAGUCCUGGUUCCAGAACAUGAUGAUAGAAUUAUAGACAAACUUUAACAAAAGCUGCCUGAGAGUUUACAGGUUUUUAUGUUGGAUUUCUUCAGUAAUUUAAUGAGCGUUAUCAGCAAUAAUCAAGUGUUCAUUUGAUGAACUUCAUUCCCUAAAACAUACAGAAUUGGAGCUCAUAUCUUUGACAGCUGUAAAGUUUCUGCUCCUUCAAAGUUCACAACACAAUGAAUGAAUUCCUAAAACACUCUCAAUGCUGAAGCAGUGAUCAGUUUUUCUGUUUCUUCUCUGGAGAUGCACAAUGAGGGACGUCUGCAGAGACUGAGAAAGAGUCUCACCACAUCCUGACAUGAGAAAAAGACUUUAUUGAAGACUACAAUGAGAAAAACUGUCAGACAGCAGACGGCUGCAUUCAAGAUAAGACAAGUACAAGAUUCUUCAGAGCCGUUCUACCACGAGCCUGACAGGAAGAACUCCAACAGCUACUGAAUGUUCCUGUGGUUCCCUCAAGGCUACAGGAGGAGCCCUACGAGGACGAGCCGGUCCACCUGAUGGAGGCCAGUCGCUGCGGUUCAAAGCCAACA